AAGACUAUAGACCUGCGGAGUACCUGCGGAGGGAUCAUUACCGAGUGCGGGCCCUCUGGGUCCAACCUCCCACCCGUGUCUAUUGUACCUUGUUGCUUCGGCGGGCCCGCCAUUCUGGCCGCCGGGGGGCUUGCCCCCGGGCCCGCGCCCGCCGAAGACACCCUCGAACUCUGUCUGAAGAUUGUAGUCUGAGUGGAAUUAUAAAUUAUUAAAACUUUUAGCAACGGAUCUCUAGAUCGG
rnacentral:misc_RNA from 1 species